rnacentral:lncRNA from 1 species
GCCAGAGAGAGGGGGAUUGUCUUUGCUUAAAGGCAGCAGCAACUGAAGAGAAGGCAUUUGGAGCAUGUUUGGAACACAUGUGGUGAUGGGUGGGAGUGUGGAACUGUGGCUGUCAGUUUCAGCGGCAAUCAGACAUGGGCAGCAUGGAAGGCUGAUUGUUAAAAGGGAAGGGGGUGAGAACUGGGCUCUGGGUAAAGUUCUUUUGGUGUUAGUGUACGCAGUGCAGUGUCACAUGCCAUGCGAUUACACACACGCUGUGAUUGUACACUUGGGGAUAGUGUAGUAUGUCACAAUAUCAAACUUGCAGUGGUUUAAGGAUGCACUGCCACAAGGCUUCCCACCACAGCUACUGUCCCAUCUGUCCUUUAUGUCAAAAUCGAGCUUCCUUCCUCCUUUGCUUAGGUCUGUGCAUAACUCUGCAUAGGAAAUCAGUAAAUCUUUCUUUUGUAGUUUGACCAACAGAGCAAUUUCUUUUAUUACCAGAUAGUUCUGUAAGCAAUAAAUAGUUCUAAUAUUCUGAGCAUAUUCAUCUCUAAAUGGGAGCUAGACUAAGGAGGCAUUUAGUAAUGCCAGGCUUGACUUACAAUUCACAAACAGAAGGUAGAUGGCUUUCGAUAGGGUUUUAAGGUCAUUUACACAAUUAUGUGCAGUUGGAAACCCUGUACUUUGGGUAUGGUGUGAUCGAGCCUUUCAGAAGUUUGGUAGCAUCAUCAUUUCAUUUUGCUGGAAUAGCAUGGAUUAGGGCUUGGUAGACUUUGCACAAGGGGCCACACAGUUAACAUUUGCAGCUUUGCAGUUGAAUCUCUGUCCCAAUUACUCAGUUCUGCUGCCUUAUCUGCAAAGCAGCCACAGACGGCACGCAAACAAAUAAACUUUGUGAUGUCAUUGUGUAGCUUUGCUUUCACAGAGUGGGCUGGGCUUGAGCCUCAGGCUUGUCGCUUUCUGUCCCAGGUUAGUAUUUGUGCUCUGUGACUUGUUUUCUCUAGUUCUGACUUUUGUCACCCGUUAAAAUGGUAUUGAUAGGAAAACUCAUUUCACGGGGCUAUUUGGAUAGUGAAUGGGGUCUCCCAGGGGGUUUGGCAAAGUGUCUGGGAGGGCUAUAGAAAAGGUGAGGUAAAGGGGAUAAAAUCUGUUUUAGUCUGUACUACACAGUGACUCUGGUGUUUCCUGGCGACUAUUUAAAGGUAAGAAGAAGAGAGUAGCAAAGCAAACUUUAGAAGCCAUUUAGAAUAACAGUUCUGUACAGGGGACAGAUGGGAGCAGGUAGAUACUGACUUUUAACAGACUAGG